CAGUAGCCGCGGGAAUACGUAGGGUGCAAGCGUUAAUCGGAAUUACUGGGCGUAAAGCGUGCGCAGGCGGUUCGCUAAGACAGAUGUGAAAUCCCCGGGCUUAACCUGGGAACUGCAUUUGUGACUGGCGGGCUAGAGUAUGGCAGAGGGGGGUAGAAUUCCACGUGUAGCAGUGAAAUGCGUAGAGAUGUGGAGGAAUACCGAUGGCGAAGGCAGCCCCCUGGGCCAAUACUGACGCUCAUGCACGAAAGCGUGGGGAGCAAACAGGAUUAGAUACCCCUGUAGUCCCUGUCUCUUAUAC
rnacentral:rRNA from 1 species